rnacentral:rRNA from 1 species
GAUCCUGGCUCAGGAUGAACGCUGGCGGCGCGCCUAACACAUGCAAGUCGAACGAAGCUAAGAUUGCGGAAGUUUCGGAUGGAAGCGAACUUAGCUUAGUGGCGAACGGGUGAGUAACACGUGAGUAACCUGCCCUUCAGUGGGGGACAACAGUUGGAAACGACUGCUAAUACCGCAUAAGACCACAGUGCCACAUGGCACAGUGAUCAAAGGAUUAAUUUUCGCUGAAGGAUGGACUCGCGUCUGAUUAGCUAGAUGGUGAGGUAACGGCCCACCAUGGCAACGAUCAGUAGCCGGACUGAGAGGUUGAUCGGCCACAUUGGGACUGAGACACGGCCCAGACUCCUACGGGAGGCAGCAGUGGGGGAUAUUGCACAAUGGAGGAAACUUCCUGAUGCAGCGACGCCGCGUGAGGGAAGAAGGUUUUCGGAUUGUAAACCUCUGUCUUCGGGGACGAAACAAAUGACGGUACUCGAGGAGGAAGCCACGGCUAACUACGUGCCAGCCGCCGC